rnacentral:rRNA from 1 species
CCUACGGGAGGCAGCAGUGAGGAAUAUUGGUCAAUGGACGCAAGUCUGAACCAGCCAUGCCGCGUGCAGGAAGACGGCUCUAUGAGUUGUAAACUGCUUUUGUACGAGGGUAAACGCAGAUACGCGUAUCUGUAUGAAAGUAUCGUACGAAUAAGGAACGGCCAACUCCGUGCCAGCAGCCGCGGUAAUACGGAGGAUUCAAGCGUUAUCCGGAUUUAGUGGGUUUAAAGGGUGCGUAGGCGGUCGGAUAAGUUAGAGGUGAAAUCCCGAGGCUCAACUUCGGAAUUGCGUUGGAUACUGUUCGGCUAGAGAGUAGUUGCGGUAGGUGGAAUGUAUGGUGUAGCGGUGAAAUGCUUAGAGAUCAUACAGAACACCGGUUGCGAAGGCAGCUUAC